rnacentral:lncRNA from 1 species
AAAUGAAUUCUCUAAUAGCAAGUUUUACGGUAAGGAACAAGUAGGUAACGAGGAGGAUAUGCUUCUCCUUGUUUAGUGGCAGGUGUUGGGUAAUAGUUGAUUGUCCAGGCCACUCAAAAGUUGACCAUUCACUUGUUUGCUGGCUCUGACCCUUUUCUGUCUGUCUUCUUUUUGUUUUUGGCACAAACUGAUUGGAUCCUCAAAUUUCAGUUCUUAUUUUCUU